GUCUUCUUGUUCUGGUUUUCUUGCCGUUUCUUUUUCGUCUCUUUGCCUUCCAUUGAUCGAUGUUUGUAGAAAAUUUCCUAAACGAUAUCUCCUACCCUUUGAACCUUGUGUUGAAAAGCCUUGUUGGCCCCACCCAUCUUGCCCGAAUUCUCAAGCAGCCUCGCCAUGGCUUCCGGAUUUCUUCCAGUGUUGGCUGUCGUCGUACUUUCCCUUUGCACGUUCUCUGUUUCCGCUGGCAUACCAUGUGGCCCAUACGGGAAGGUGUGUCCACAGAAAGGCUUUGAAGAUGAGACUGCUUGCUGCGGCCCAGAUCACUUCGGUUAUUGGCGGUGCUGUGAUCCUCGAUUCUCUGCAUGGAAAAUUGCCGUCAUCGCCGUUUCUGGCUUGCUGGGCAUCAUCAGUGCUGCCAGUGUUGUACUGUGUCUCUGCUGUCCCUCUUGUCCGGUGUACAAGUGGAGACAGAAGGGAAAGUCGCUCCUCAGCGAGACGCCAACAAAUUCGCACCAACCCUUGCUCACUGGAACAGCAUGAGAUUCUGGUUGCGCGUUCAUCCUGAGUGGUUCGAUAUGCUCCCAGGACAUGGACAACUGACUUGGUGUUGUCUUGAAGCGACACAC